AGAUAUUGGAUCAUGAACUGCAUCACCAGUCAGCCAUUCUGAUAGGAUAGUGGAAUGACCUGUUGACAUUCCAGAGUGUUUUCCAGUUCAAUCACUAUGUCACUCCAGGGCAUGAGACAGCUGAGUGGAAAGACCACCUUUGCUCUGGGUCAAGUGAUAGCAACACCAGGAAGCACAAUGCAGUGAAGACAGCGUGGUUGCAGGGACGCGGACCCUGAUUCCAGUACUCAUCAACGUCGGUCACUUUGGGCAAGCCACAAAUGAAAAUGACCCUCUGGCCCUGCAAGUUCUUCAGACGUCGUAACUGCUAAUGCUCUCUCAAUCUGCUUGUAACUCAGCGGCUUGGACAGAGUUCCCACCUUCCGUGAAUUGCAGGAUUACCACUCACUCGUCAUUACAGGGAUACGUCAGUCAAUAUAAUAUGAAGUCUACUCACAGAGGCACAGAAAGCCGUUACAGUGCCAUCACCCAAAAUGUUCAUCCCCCUGAAGAGGAAUGAAGGGCUUCUCCAGGCCAUUCCGGCUCUUGGAGGUUGUGCACCCAUCAGUGGAGCGAGACUCUGCGGCCUCUGGGUAACAAGGAAAACGCAAGGGGUUGGGUCCCUGCAGGAGGAGAUGUGGUUCAAAAAGAACUGAAUGGCUUCAUCCACUGGCCUCCUCGGUCCUAAGUGUUCACAAGCAGCCCAGGCUGGC